CAGGUGAGAGACAGACAGGUCUGGACAAUUUCUCAUACAAAACAUUCACAUUUCAUUUCAUUCAACAUUUGAUCUGUCAGUCAUUUAUCAAUCAUCAAUAUUUGAUCAAUAAUCCAUCUUCAUGGAGAGGCUGGGCCGAACAGUUUGAAUCCACCUGACAUCUUCACCACCAGGUGAAUCUGAGCACACCUGUAGCAGAAGCCCAGCCCCUGGAUCUGGUUGUCAUGGUUACCUGUGGCAGAACAGAAGCAAUGACAUCAUGGUGGCCUCAGAGCCCCGCCCACUGGGUGGAGCUCUGACAGGCACUGACCAAUGAGGGUGAGGGGCUGACGGGGUCAUGUGACAUUGUGGUUGGUCGGUGGCCUUGGGCCGGGCCUCUGUGAUUGGCUGACCUCUGGAGAGUGGGGUCAGUGACUUCAGAGUCGUCCUGGAUCUGGGUUCAGCAUUCAGCGGGUCAAAGGUAAUCAGCCGGGCGCCGGGCCAGGACUCCCUGACAACUGAACCCUGACCUUUGAACUUUCUGCGAUCUCGUAACACGACCGCUGUCUCUGGUUGCUUAGCAACAAGUUGUCGAGUUCUAAGGGGAAGGGGCGGAGUUGACGGAGGGCGACGCUGAGGACAACGACAGGGGGCGGAGUCAGAUGGCUGCUUUCGCCGUGACAUCAUCUUUUUCACACUGACAAACAUCCAACAAACAACAGUGACCAAUCACAGACCUCCGUCCAAUCAGAGCUUAGCUACAGACUCCGCCGACCAAUCACAGUUCAGAUCAUCUAAUUAGGAGACGAUUUGAAGGCUGUCCGAUCAGAGAAUCCUAUCCACCGUCCUCAUUACGGUCUGGACCAUGUGAUGUUCCUCGUUAAGGUCUGGACCAUCUGUUUCUCCUUGUUAAGGUCUGGACCGUCUGUUGUUCCUCGUUAAGGUCUGGACCAUCUGUUUCUCCUUGUUAAGGUCUGGACCGUCUGUUGUUCCUCGUUAAGGUCUGGACCGUCUGUUGUUCCUCGUUAAGGUCUGGACCGUCUGUUUCUCCUUGUUAAGGUCUGGACCAUCUGUUGUUCCUCGUUAAGGUCCAGACCGUCUGUUGCUCCUCGUUAAUGUCCAGACCGUCUGUUGUUCCUCAUUAAGGUCUGGGCCAUCUGUUUCUCCUUGUUAAGGUCUGGACCGUCUGUUGUUCCUCGUUAAGGUCUGGACCAUCUGUUUCUCCUUGUUAAGGUCUGGACCGUCUGUUGUUCCUCGUUAAGGUCUGGACCGUCUGUUUCUCCUUGUUAAGGUCUGGACCGUCUGUUUCUCCUUGUUAAGGUCUGGACCGUCUGUUUCUCCUUGUUAAGGUCUGGACCAUCUGUUGUUCCUCGUUAAGGUCCGGGCCGUCUGUUGUUCCUCGUUAAGGCCUGGACCGUCUGUUGUUCCUCGUUAAGAUCUGGACCGUCUGUUGUUCCUCGUUAAGGUCCGGACCGUCUGUUGUUCCUCGUUAAGGUCUGGACUGUCUGUUGUUCCUCGUUAAGGUCCAGACUGUAUGUUAAGAACAUUGACAGACUUCAAGUUUCCAUGGAGACCCCACCCAAUCUCUCUCCCCCACACAUUGCUCUCUGAUUGGCUGCUGUUUCAUUCCAUCUCCUGCCCACUCACGGUCACAGCCAAUAGGAACAGUGCAGCUGGAUUCUCCUCCCGCCCACUCAGAGUGAACACAGACAGACGUCUGAUUCAUUCACAGACUGUUCGUCCACACCAGACUAAUAAAGUUUUACUGAACGGA